UACGUAGGGUGCGAGCGUUGUCCGGAAUUAUUGGGCGUAAGGAGCUUGUAGGCGGUCUGUCGCGUCUGCUGUGAAAAUCCGGGGCUCAACCCCGGACUUGCAGUGGGUACGGGCAGACUAGAGUGUGGUAGGGGAGACUGGAAUUCCUGGUGUAGCGGUGAAAUGCGCAGAUAUCAGGAGGAACACCGAUGGCGAAGGCAGGUCUCUGGGCCACUACUGACGCUGAGAAGCGAAAGCAUGGGGAGCGAACAGG
rnacentral:rRNA from 1 species